UCCGGCGCAAGCAGAUUUUUGCACCAACAGGAUUGACGCUAGAGGAAGGGGCCCUGUGUCUUCGCAGCACCCUUGUUCUUAAAGGAGUGUUCAACGGAGCCGCCUCCGACCGUUUCUCCAUCACCCACUCCUAAUCUUCCCCCACGAGAUCGACACUCGAUGCCUCCGCGCAAGGCGUCCACCCGGCGGUCCACGGCCUCCGCGGCCAGAUCUCAGGCUCCGGCCUCCUCUCUCGUUUCUCAGCCUCCUCCUUCUCCCCCUCCGGCGGCGGCGGUCGGCGCGGAGCAGUUUGACUUGCUGGCGCAGCAGGUCAAAGGCCUCGUCGAAGCCGUACAAGCAAUGCAGCAGCAGCAACCACAGGCGUCGGCGCAUCCGGAGGGGGCAUCUCCGGAAUGCCAGAACCCGGCGGUGGGGCGGGCCACCUGGGC
rnacentral:lncRNA from 1 species